rnacentral:rRNA from 1 species
UACGUAGGGGGCAAGCGUUGUCCGGAUUCAUUGGGCGUAAAGCGCGGGCAGGCGGCCCGUUAAGUCGGCCGUGAAAGCGCCGGGCUCAACUCGGCGAGGACGGGCGAGACUGACGGGCUCGAGGUUGGCAGAGGGCGGUGGAAUUCCGGGUGUAGUGGUGGAAUGCGUAGAGCUCCGGAGGAACACCAGUGGCGAAGGCGGCCGCCUGGGCCAAUACUGACGCUGAGCCGCGAAAGCGUGGGGAGCGAACGGG